CCUACGGGAGGCUGCAGUGGGGAAUAUUGGACAAUGAGGGCAACCCUGAUCCAGCCAUGCCGCGUGUGUGAAGAAGGCCCUCGGGUUGUAAAGCACUUUCAGUGAGGAAGAACGCCUGGUGGUUAAUACCCAUCAGGAAAGACAUCACUCACAGAAGAAGCACCGGCUAACUCCGUGCCAGCAGCCGCGGUAAUACGGAGGGUGCGAGCGUUAAUCGGAAUUACUGGGCGUAAAGCGCGCGUAGGUGGCUUGAUAAGCCGGUUGUGAAAGCCCCGGGCUCAACCUGGGAACGGCAUCCGGAACUGUCAAGCUAGAGUGCAGGAGAGGAAGGUAGAAUUCCCGGUGUAGCGGUGAAAUGCGUAGAGAUCGGGAGGAAUACCAGUGGCGAAGGCGGCCUUCUGGACUGACACUGACACUGAGGUGCGAAAGCGUGGGUAGCAAACAGGAUUAGAUACCCGGGUAGUC
rnacentral:rRNA from 1 species